CUGUGUUAGUCGAAUGCAGAGGAAGCGGUAACGUAUUUCAACGAACCUCGUGGUUUUCUGGAAUAUUCCAACGAACGUUUAUCCAAUUCAUACACAGCUUACCCAAAAAAUGAAGUAGAUGAUACAUCGACGAGCACAAUUGGAGGAAGUGAAAGAGUACCGAACUCGGUAAAGAGAAAAUUCGAAAAGCGAGUUUAACAAAAGAAAAAUGCAACUACGAGAAGCCGCAAGCACGAUAAUUGACCGGAACGAAAGUUUAUCUCGAUGCGAAUGGAGCACCGAGGUAACGAACAAAGGAGCGAAUGAAAGCUUGACGAAUCGUUCGAACGUGUGAGAAGAACUGAAGAAGUCUUGCUAUCUCUGGCAAAGUGCGAAUGUGGAAAAUGCGAGGAAUGUGAAUGGUAAAUAGAUGGGAUAGACACGGAUAGAUACGGGGAAACAUUUAUAAAGGAGAAGACGAAGAUGAAAGAUG